CAAAUGGUGGGAGUGCUAGGAGUCAAAUAGGAAGAAGGUGGUGGUUGCAGUGCUUUUCUGUAUCCUUUCCUGUUGUAGCUGGGUUGUGCUCCUCUAUUUGAGUAGCUGUGUGCUGGAAAGCUGAGAUAUUUCUCUGUACUAUACUGGCAGGUUAGGCACCAUCCUUCAUUUUGUUUCUGGAGGUGAUGCUGGUUCCCCAUCCUCUGCUGAUGUGAGAGCUGUGGGGCUGCCCAGGGCUGAGCCACGCAGGUGCCCCUUUCUAUCACGGAGAUAAAAGCUGUGACACAGCCUGGCAGAGCCCAGGAGCUGCUCCCAACCUCUCAUCCCAUCCUCGUGCCCUCCAUCAGAAAACUACAGCCCGAGGAAGCGGCUCGGAGGCAUCUCGAAGACUUGGAUCUGGUUCCUGGCCUCGCGGAAUGAGAAUCCGGAGACUGUGCUCACAUUUCCAUGGCUGGGGGUGAUCUCCGUUCUGUGGCAGGAGCCUGGAGCCCGGGGAUUGAAGAGCUCUGCUCCUCGGCUUGUGAGACAGAAUGACCGCAGGUGCUGAGAGAGAGCAGGAAAUCAUCUUUGUAAAGCUGUCCAGAAAGCCUUGAAUUCAGCCUUAUCUGGAGGAUUACCCCACGCUGUUCAGUUCUUGGCAUUCAGCUCCUCUGCAGUCCCCAGCUUCAGCACAGGAAACUCCUUCACCUAGCUGCUGCCAGCAUGCUUUUGGCGACCCUGGCUGUCCCGUCAGCUGUUACAGGCCAUUAAAGGAUUUGUUUCUCGGCGUAUGAAAAGGCUUAAUUCAAUUCUCAUUCUCUUCUGGCAUUCCUCGGAGAUCUUUGCUCCUCUGGAGGCUGUGGUCCGUAGCAGAGGAUUUCUCUUUCGUCUGUGGUUCUGGUGCUGUUCGCAGUCAACACCUGGGGGUUUGAGCUGCUGCGGAGCCAGAGGUGGGAAGCUGUGUCAGGGAGCUUCUGAGAGCACGUUCCCAAAAGACACAUCAAGAGAUAAACAAGCAAGCCUGGAAAACUUCUAAUUCAUGCUGUUGCCUCACAUCUGCGUAUGUCUCUCGCUGGAUUUUGUGUCCUUUGCAAUGAGUCGGGGCAGCCAGGAAGGAGUUAACGCAUGCGCCCUAUGAAACAAGUGCAUCCCAAACCCUGGCAAUCAGAGGCAAGCAACAAUUAUUAACGCCUCGGCAUUUAAUGUGGCAGAUCGUUUACGCCCCUGGUUGUGGUGUGCGUUCAAUUCCAGAGCACUCGGCGUUGUCAUAGCGGGGCCGUAGAUCACAGCGACCUUAGCAUCGUGUCAAGGGGCUUCACUCCAUCAGGGAUAAUGAACGUCUCCCACCGGUUUCUCCCCAUCACUCACUUGAGAUCCAGAAGUUCAUCACGCAAAUGACAAACAAUGUUAAUUUUCUGCAAAUAAUUCCUCCAGAUGUCCGCGGGAUUCCAGCACUCUUUGCCCGCAACGAGCCUUCUAGGCUGUCAUCUACUUCUGGCUUCGCUCAGACUCUGCAGUCCAAAGAGUCAUGUGCAGUGACCCGCCACCAUCCCUGCUUCAGACUCCAGAGUCAGGUAGUUAGAUGAUUCCCUUUCAUGUAAGUACUUUUUUAUCUUUCUUAUCUGUGGAGGGAAGCCAGCACAAGUCAUCUUUGAAGGUAAGGAAAAUGGAACCAAUGUUUUGUAUCCCAGAAAUCUCAUUAUUUUCCAACUAAUCUGCUGACCUCGAAUGCAGGGGUUUGGCAGUUUCUUUAAGGGCUGUUGCUAAACAGAGCAGAAGCAGGUCCAUCUUGGGAAAGUCUGCAUGGGUACAAUAUGAAUUUUCUGUAAGGUGAAUUCUUUGGGCUGUGUCAGAAUGAGACACUGUGGGUGACUUGCCUUUGUCUCAAGCUUGAUGGUAGUUGCCUUUGUCUCAAGCUUGAUGGUAGAUUUCACAAGAGGAAAAAAGUGUGUUUAAGAAGUUACUUGAUGCUGAUCUGUCCAGAGUUUUUUUCCCAGGCUGGAUUUAGGGAAGGAUUAUCUCAGAUUUUCAUUUAGUUCUGAAAUCCUGGGUAUUGGUUUUAUAAACUAAACCCCCUUCGCAGCAGGUUGCUUGUUCUGUAUUGUUGUUUUAGCUUGGUGCAUAGAAAGGAAUUUAAAUUCACUGACAGGGUGGGGCUAGCUCCUCGCUGGGGUAAAUCAGCAUAGUUCAGAUAUUUAAAGGCAGAUGCAUCAGUCCUGGCAGCCGAGGAUCUGGCUUACUUUGAUUAAAAUCUGAUGAAGAUUACUCAGCCUUACCAAGGGACUUGGAUUACCAUUCUAUAAAAAGAAGGGCAGGAGAGCAGAGGACAUUAAAUAUAAAAAUAAUCCAACGAAGGAUGUGAAGCUAAAAGCGUGGCACGUUGAACAAUGAUGCAAACACCCUACUGAAACAGGUGGAGGGCCGCAGGGCUGGUGGGUGCACGCAAGGCUGGAAGCUAGGUUUGAGUCAGAAAGACAUUGCUCUUGUCACAGCCCUGGUCUUGUCUUUUAAAGGCAGAAUGUUCAGAAAGAGAGCCUCGCUCCUUAGAAAAUCCCCAGCGGAGUCUUGCAGGAGAAGAAGUGGGUGACAAAUCCUCUGCCUCUGCUUCCUCGGGGACCCAGGCUAGUGCCAAAUCUCACUACAAAGAGGUGAUUAGAGCUGAGGAACAGAAAGUCAGCUCUUACAGAUCUGAAAGCUUGAAAUGUGCAUCGUCUUUAGGGUUUCUUACAGAGGUUGAACUUCACCUCUCCCUUCUAUCGCAGCGUUCGUUUUCCUGGUUCUUUGUUCCUUUGAAAGCAUGAAGUGUAUUUAGGGGCUGUUAUUACUCCACGUGAUUGUGCUCCAUGGGCAGUGACCGAUAGAAGGGCUGCAAUGAGCCCUUUUUUUUUUUGGCCUUUUAAACGUUUCUGUCAAACCUUUCAGCACAUGUCUAGCUUUCCCAAGAUUUCGUAUCCAGUCCCUUAAAAUCAAUACAGUCUGGUCUUGCCUCUGCAGUGGAGCUAUUGAUAGGGAAGAUGCACUUGGGUCUUCAUCUAACUGCCUUUUGAAGCCCCUAAACCCAUUUGUCUCUUCUUUUGAUGGAGCUUGCUGCCUUGCUCAAUGGCUUGCUUGCAUAGGAAGCACCUUCCUUGCUGACCUCUGUUAAAAACGUGGAAGGUCUUCAAGUAGAGUUGCAGGACUUGUGAUUUGAGUGUCCUUCUUUACCCAGACCAAGGAGAACAGAGUGCAUGGUGCGUUGGCCAUUCUGGAAUCUGUCUAGGGUGGCUGGAAGAUGCUUUAAUGGUGUCAGAAGGCUCCGGGAGCCUGGACAGUGAGGUUGAGCGGCCUUAAGAACGUUGCUGACUUAAACUGACGCAUCUAAAUGCGCUGGAGGAAAGACGAGAGGGCUGUUUGGGGACCUCCUGGGUGAUUACAUACAUGGCUGGUCAGCGACAUCGCCUGAGUGCCCCGGCAGCUAUGCCAGUCUUCCAGUUUUCUUUCAUUGCAGUUCGGGUCGGAUGAGGAUAAGAUUGUGUUUUAAUAAGUGUUUGUUAGGGAGUGCUUCCCCCCCCGCCUCCCACCCGCAUGAAACUGUUUAUUUUCCUUGCAGUAACACGUGUGUUGCUCAGCUUCUGCUGUUCCAUGUGUCGUGCUCUGUUACUCUGCCUUGCUCGCAGCCGCAGAGCAGGGGGAACGCUGCCAAGGCUUUUUCUGGGAAUUUGCUCUGGUCGUGCUGCUUCCCCGGGAGCACUCAGCGGAUGCAUGUUGUUUGCAGGGGGGGGGGAACACUCAAAUGUCAGCAUCUGAAGGGAUCACGAAGGAAGCAAGGCGAGCACCAACUACUCUUCCACCUCUCAGAGGUGCCUGCAUACACACAGCCUUGAUGCAACCCUGCUGCAGAUUAUAGACGUGUUUUGGUUGAGAUUCUCUGUGCUUGAUGCAUUGUCUGCCUGCAACGCAGGGCAAACUCUACUCCUCCCUUCUGGCCCGGCCUGUAAUGAUGGAUUAAGUAGGUAAGUAAUAGAGUGGUAAUGAGAUAACCACUGACAUCGAGCAUUAACGUGGGAAUAAAUGAAGUUACCAUCCAGAACUAAUGGCCUGAACUAUCACUGGGUUGUAAUUAAUGAACGUGGUGGCUGAGAUUUACAAGGAUAUUUUAGGAUGCUGUUUGCAUGCAGCUUUGGCUUUUAUGGCUUGGUUGGAAAGAAAUCAAUUAAUGCCAUGAACUUAAUGAAUGAGAUGACGAUGUGCUUUGUCAGAUUGUAGUGCCCCUUUUGUGGAAGCGGCUAGACUGGUGUGCACGUGGAAUGCUGUUGUUUGCCUUACUUCAAGGGACGGAAGAAGUUAGGAUACUGUGAUCUCUGUCUCCCUAGGUCACUUACUCUGUAGUGUGUAGUGGAGCUGUUGCAAAGUGUCUCUGAUGGCCAAACUACACACUAGUGGUGUGCCUGUGCUCAAGAGGCCUUGCUUGGAGAGCUGUCCCUCUCUCCUUGCAUGGCUUAGUAGGCAUGUGACCCUGCCAAACACUUUGGAUAUGUGUGAAUAACACUUUUGAGGUGGUUGCUAGGCUGUUGCAGAAAACACAGAAGAGCAGUCAAAAUUCUUCACGUUAAUUGGUGGGAACAAUCCAGCCAUCUCUGCUGACUGUUGCUUCUCUCAUCUUUCCAUGGCAACAGUCUCUCUACAGCAGCCCAGGUGCUCAUGGUUGGGCAUGCUGGGAUUUCUGAGCCCUCUGUCUUCCAAAUCACCCCCUUGGAGCAUGGAGGGAACAUCUGUACCGCUAAAGUAUGGCAUCACACGAUGCAUCAAAGACAUCUCUUUGUGUAAUCAUGUUCCUUAUGCUGUCAGAGACAGAAAACUUUGGGAACGUGAACUGAACCCUUACAUUUCUUCAGUGCAAAUGCUGUUGCCCUGUUUUUUGAUGAGGAGAGGAAGGUGCUGAGUCUUUCCUGUCCUGGCCGUGUCCAUGGACCGAGCUGUCAUACCAUUCUGAGAGCUGGAGGAAGGAAAGGGACUGGUAAGCAAAGGGAAGGAUGAUGUCUCUCUCUCUGCCACAGAGCCCAGCCUGACUGCUGGUGUCAAGUUGCCUUUUGGAAGCCAGGAUGGUGGCUGGAGGUGAGAAUAAGGAGAGAAAGUGGCUCAGGCACUGCAUCGUCCUCACCUCUGCUCCCUGCUGUGAAUAUAAGCGUGUGGAGAUAGCACAAAGAGGGGUGCUGCCCACUUCUAGCAGGGUAGAGUAGGUAUGGAGGAGGCAUCCCUUCUGCCUUGCCUCUCUGAAGCAUGUUCCAGGCAUGUUCUAGCACCAUUUUCUCUUCUGGGACCUGUUUUACAGGCACUUUUAAUGAUUCUAGGGGAAAAUGAGAGACAGAUGGCCAGUGAUGAACCCAGUCCAAAGCUGCCCAGACUUGAGGGAGGGUGUCGUUUCAGCUGGAAGCAUCACAUCUUUGAGGUGCACGCUCAGUAGUUCCCUUCCACGCUGAGCAGGAGGAAGGAAUUUCCACCUGCUGGACCAGCGUAAGCCAAGACCCAAAUUGAGCAAAGUAUGGUUCAUGGAUUUACACAUUAUGUGAUAUGCACCUUCCCUUCCCCCAGCUUUGGGAAGUUUAUUGCCCCCAACAAAGUAUGCCGUGUGGCAGGCUGUUAUGUGACAGGGGAAAAUUACCCAGACUGUUCUCCAGAAGGCAAGUGAGCAAAAAUUUUCCUCCAACUGGUUCAGGACAAAGUUAAUGUAGGAAAGCCAUUAAAAUUAAUGCUGGUAAUCAAGGAUAAAAACCAGCAGGGCUGUAACAAAAUUUGGACCAGAUUGAGUUUCCCAGCUGUCAUGCUGCAUGCUUUCUUAAAGGCAGCAGGCAGAGGGAGGGUGUAGUGUAAGGCAGGCUUGGAAAGUUCUUGUCAAGGGUGUGAGUUUGGGGGCAUCUGGAUUCUGGUGGCAUUGGCUCCUUGGUCCGGCACUGUCUUUUUUUGUUUUUGAGGAAGCAAUGUCUCUGCUUGGUCUGAUGGUCCUUAUGACUUGUGUUUUAUUCAUAUCAUGUUUACCUGCUUUCUUCCAGAGUCUGCCCUCAGAAUUCAGGUCCUUCUCCAGGACUCUGGGAACCUGCCUGCGUGUGAUUGACGGCAUCACGUGAGCGUGUAUGGGGCUGCAUCUCAUGCUGUCGGGUCAGAGAUUACCUCCAAGCAGCCAAUACUCAAUGUUCAGUUAGAAAAGAUGCAAAGAAGCAGAGCCAUUCCCCUCUCUGUGUCAUCUGCCUCUGAGAGUGGGAGAGUGCUGGCAGAGCGCUACCGGGUCUGUACUGGUAUAGAGAGGAAGGCUCAGAUUUGAUGAUUUGUCCAUUAUCUGGUGGUGGAUACAGCCUAACCUGGGCUCAGAGCAUCCCAAGGUCUGUAUCCUAGUGCAGGAACUGGCUGCUGCUGCUCUCUUCUGAAUAGACAGCUUUCUCCAGCCUCACAGCAUGCUAAUGUAGGCCAGUCACCUUCACCACAACUCCUGGCGCAAGAUAUUCAGCAGACUUGAUGCUUCAUAGUAGGCUGAAUCUGGUAUAACCAAGGCAGAAUUUCUACCUGCCAGUAGUGAAGUAAUGCCCUGUGAUUUCAAGUGACCACUGGUUUGACAGCAGUAGUGAAAGGGAAAGGCAUGAAUAGGCCGGAUAUCAGGAAAACCUUCUCAGGAGUGAUGAGGCUGUGAAAUGGACUGCCCAGGGAGGUGGUGGAGUCACUGUCCCUGGAGGUGUUCAAGAACUGUGGAGACGUGGCACUGAGGGACGUGGUUUAGUGAGCAAUAAUGGUUGAUGGGUGGACAGCUGGAUUAGAUGGGUCCGACUAGAGGUCCUCCAAUUAGAGGUCUUUUCCAAUCUAAAUGAUUCUAUGAAAGCAGUCGACCGUUUUCUUGCAGUCUCUGAGAAGCUUGGAUAUGGUGUCUGAAACGAGCUAAGGAAGCCACCUAAUCUCUGAGCACAUCCACCUUCUGCAGCAUACACCCUUCCAGCCACAAAGAGGUCCUGAGUCCCUCAGUGGCUGCAAAGAACAGCAGGUAGAUGGAGCAGACAGAGAUGGAGAGCAUUCUUUUGUUGCUUUUUUUUGGGGGGGGGGGAGUAUCGUUGAAGAAUCAGGGUGACAAAAAUAUUUUGAUGGAAGUGACUAUGUGAAAUAUCUUUUCAUUUUGAUUAUUUGAAAAACAAAAACUGUUCAUGGGUUUUAAAAUUCAUGUCCCCUCCGGGUUGCUUUGUUUUGUUUUGUUUCUUAUUCCUUCUCCCUUAUUCCUCAGAGGAAGCCAUCCAAACCUACACGGUGCGUCAUUUCUUGAGGAAAUGCAGUGUGAUCUUUUUUUCCAGUUUAACCUGGGCUGAAAAAUCUUCUGGUGUUUCAUUUGCCUGAGAAAUCGGGAAAAAAAAAGCUUGGAUGAAACAGGAAUCUGGCUGGUUCACAGGGAACCUUCUUGGUUUUGGAGACCCACUUGGGUGGGGUAGCUGCAGGAGCUCUUUGUUGUGCAGGCUGGGGAGGAGGUGAUGCCAUCUUUGCCUGGGCCAUACUUUGUGCCCAAUGCCUCCUCCAGGGGUGAGGGGCAUAAGGGGUGCAGAGCUGUGUCUUGGUUGCAGCAGGGAACUGCUACCACUGAAGUAUGAUUCUCAGCUUUCUGGAGUUGUGGAAAACAUCUGGACAAUGGUUGAAAUUGGAAGAGCGAAGGGCUAUCCUGGCUUUUGAGGGCAUAUCAUGGGAUGUCCCGCAGGUGGCUUGUUGGAGGUGAACCACAGAGGGAGGACUGCACUGGAGAGGCAUAGAGGCUCACAUGGGACGGGAGUGGUGGCAACUGCCUGUAUGCCUGGAAGCAGGGCAAGCAGUGGACUGGGGGUGGAGGAGACCACCUCCGCCUGUUGCUGCCAUCUCCACGAGCUGCCAGCUCUGCCGUGUAGCUUUGCCCAGAUCUGCAGUAGAGCUGCUCAUCCCCAGCCCUGCCAUCCCUGUGCCCCACAUGCUGCCUCUCCUAUAAAUAGCCGGAUGGGAAGCAGAGCGCAGAGCCGCCGCAGAUGGCCCCCAGUUCCACGCGCACUCAUGUGUGAGAUCCCAGAGAGGGGCUGUCAAUUCCUUGCCUACAGCCACCCAUGCAACCUCAUUAAGGAUGGUGUCGUCUUCCUUAACCCCCAUCGCCCCCUCCCUCCCCACUUCAACGUGCCUCCAUUUGAGCACCCUUAUUAAACGUGCACUUCUAAGCAAGGAGCGCUGACUUCCCCUUAAUUGAGGCAUAAUAAUUAGAGCAUUAACACAUUAGGAGGGUGAGACAGCAUGUUUAGCUUUUGUGAUUAAUUAUCUGAGGAUUGUAAUAAGUUGUUAAGACAUUAAUUACUCUGGCAUGUUUAUUGCUCUUUAUUGCAGAACUGACACUUGGUGGAAGAGUUGCUGGUGUGCCUGGCGGUGCACCGUGAGGUGGGCUGGCCAGGGGAGACCUCUGCUCCCCCAUAGGCACUGAGCUGCUGCUUGGGAAUGGAUCUAGGGGAGCAGAAACAGCUCCUGAACCUCCAGCAGGACACCUCGGGAUGGAAGUGGUGUCUGAAUCUCUUAGAGUCGUAGGAUUAUGAAGGUUGGAAUAAAACACUGAGAGCAUCAGCCCAUCCCCACCGUGCCCACUAAACCAUGUCCCUCAAUGCCGCGUUCUCCCUCAUCUUGGGGCAGCCUGGGAGCUGGAAGGCUUAUUUUUAUGGAUGGUUUCAGCUGGAUUUCUCUCUUCUUUCAAACAAAGUGUUUCCUCUCGGAUGGUUUGAGCCUGCCCUCAUUUGGAUCUUUGUUUUUGCAAAUCCAAGUCAGCGUGGCUCAUUGUGCCUGGAUCUGAGGAGGAUGGCUGUCUGUUAACGACAAGCUGAAGUUCAGCGUGUCGGCGGUGGUCAGGGAGUGAACCAGGACCCCAGUGGCCUCGCUUGGCUCUUGAUCAGAUGAAUUUUCUUCUGGAGAGCUGGGAGUCUGUUCCCAUGAGAUUUAUAGACUCUGACUGUCCCUGAGACCUCUGCCUCUCUGUCAGAUCAGGCUGAAAUCUGUUCUCAGUGUCAGAAGCUGCUGCCAAGCAGGCAGGGGAUGGACUGAUGCGUGUGUUUUGCAUCCCAUAAGAACUCAAGCACAGACCUGGGGGGCGAUGGGAGCUCUGAUUGCCAACUUGUGGGUUCAGGAAGGUGAGCCUCCAGGAGAAGGGCCGUGCCCGCAGCCAUCCUGCAUGAGAUGCCGUGCUGCGGGAUGCUCACGGGCUGCACUUCAUGUUCCCAUCGCCUGCGGUGACCAUCACAAGCGGCGCAGCCCCUGUGGGAACGGCCCCUGAGGACAAUAAACGAGCCAGCCCCGAGCUCCAGGCUGCUGUGAAGAAUUGCCUGGCUAAAGGAUAAUGAAUACCGCAGCAGGAGACGGAGCGUUUCUCCGAGGCCAUCCAUCCCCUUUAUCACCCCGCUAACAAGCCCCUGAGCGACUUCAGAGAGGCUUCUGCAGAGCAGCUCAAUCCCUCACCGUGCUGGCGGCUGGGUGCUGGGGGCUCUGCGGGAAGCCACAGCCCCAUCCCACAGAGCAACCGCCAGUGCCCUCCAGGGGUCCGUGUAGUGCCAAGGAGGGGCAGAAGAGCCAGGCAUCCUUUUUUUUUCCAAGGCACUUUUGGGCCCUGCAGCACCCUUUGGAGCAUUGCUUUACCCAGCUCCCAGCCUGGCAAAGAUUUCUGAGAUCUGUGCGAGGCUCAGGAGGAGUUUAGUGCUGCUGGCCAGGAGGUGAGUUGGUUCUGCUUCACUUGCAGCACAGCUGAGUCUGUGCACGAGCCCGAUGCAGGGCAGAGAGGGCAGGAGCGAUGUGCUCUUCCUAAGAGCUAAUAAAAGCUGAUUCCUCCCAUAGCUCCGAGCCAGUGGGAAGCAUUAGUGGCUGGCUGAGUGCCUCCCACGCUGUGCAGCGUGCUGGGUGCUUGUCCUCCUGCGGAGGGAAAGGCAUCUCAGCAAGAACUCAGGCAUCCCUCCUAGGAGGGCAAACCAGGCGUGUAGCUGGGCAGCUGGGCAUGGGAGGCAAGUGGGAGCGCGUGGCACAAAAUUCCCAUUUCUGAGCAAGUUCUCCUGCCUAUGCUCAGGGCUUGGGGUGGGAGCGGCACACUCAUGGCCUGACUGGUGUCCAAAAAGCCCCGGUGCUGAAUGCCUCCAUUGAGAAGCUUACGUGUACGUCAGCAUCCCAAGCGUGCUGGUAUGUGGUGUGCCCACCUGCCUGAGUGUGUCUGGGGCACCGCAUGCAGUGUGUAGGCACUCAGCAGGGCUAAUUGCCAGUAAUUGGAAGGCUUCUUUUGUCUCCUCUUUCCUGCGUUAUUUUGCCUUUUCUUCCAG
ensembl:lncRNA